UGCCAGCCGCCGCGGUAAUACGGGGGGUGCAAGCGUUAUUCGGAAUCAUUGGGCGUAAAGAGCGCGUAGGCGGCCCUAUAAGUCAGAUGCGAAAGCCCGGGGCUUAACCCCGGAAGUGCAUUUGAAACUAUUGGGCUUGAGUAUGGGAGAGGGAAGUGGAAUUCCUGGUGUAGAGGUGAAAUUCGUAGAUAUCAGGAGGAACACCGGUGGCGAAGGCGACUUCCUGGACCAAUACUGACGCUGAGGCGCGAAGGCGUGGGGAGCGAACAGGAUUAGAUA
rnacentral:rRNA from 1 species